rnacentral:rRNA from 12 species
UGACGCCUGCCCGGUGCUGGAAGAUUAAAUGAUGGGGUGCAAGCUCUUGAUUGAAGUCCCAGUAAACGGCGGCCGUAACAAUAACGGUCCUAAGGUAGCGAAAUUCCUUGUCGGGUAAGUUCCGACCCGCACGAAAGGCGUAAUGAUUUGGGCACUGUCUCAACGAGAGACUCGGUGAAAUUUUAGUACCUGUGAAGAUGCAGGUUACCCGCGACAGGACGGAAAGACCCCAUGGAGCUUUACUGCAGUUUGAUAUUGAGUGUCUGUACCACAUGUACAGGAUAGGUAGGAGUCUAAGAGAUCGGGACGCCAGUUUCGAAGGAGACGUUGUUGGGAUACUACCCUUGUGUUAUGGCCACUCUAACCCGGAUAGGUAAUCCCUAUCGGAGACAGUGUCUGACGGGCAGUUUGACUGGGGCGGUCGCCUCCCAAAUGGUAACGGAGGCGUACAAAGGUUUCCUCUGAACGGGUAGAAAUCGUAUCUAGAGUGUAAAGGCAUAAGGAAGCUUGACUGUGAGACCUACAAGUCGAGCAGGGACGAAAGUCGGUCUUAGUGAUCUGACGGUACUGAGUGGAAAGGCCGUCACUCAACGGAUAAAAGUUACUCUAAGGAUAACAGGCU